rnacentral:rRNA from 1 species
UACAGAGGUCUCAAGCGUUGUUCGGAUUCAUUGGGCGUAAAGGGUGUGUAGGUGGCGCCGUAAGUCGGGUGUGAAAUUUCGGAGCUUAACUCCGAAACUGCAUUCGAUACUGCGGUGCUUGAGGACUGGAGAGGAGACUGGAAUUUACGGUGUAGCGGUGAAAUGCGUAGAUAUCGGGAGGAACACCGGUGGCGAAGGCGGCCCCCUGGUUGGAUACUGACGCUGAGACGCGAAAGCGUGGGGAGCAAACAGG